rnacentral:rRNA from 1 species
CGGGGGGCUGCAGUGGGGAAUUUUGCACAAUGGGCGAAAGCCUGAUGCAGCGACGCCGCGUGGAGGAUGAAGGCCUUCGGGUUGUAAACUCCUUUUUUAGGGGAAAAUAAUGAUGGUACCCUGCGAAUAAGCCACGGCUAACUCUGUGCCAGCAGCCGCGGUAAGACAGAGGUGGCAAGCGUUGUUCGGAAUUACUGGGCUUAAAGGGCGCGUAGGCGGUAAGAUAAGUCUGUGGUGAAAUCUUAGGGCUUAACCCUAAAACUGCCAUGGAAACUGUUUUACUUGAGUCAGCGAGGGGAUGGUGGAAUUCCUGGUGUAGCAGUGAAAUGCGUAGAUAUCCGGAGGAAGGCCGGUGGCGAAGGCGGCCAUCUGGCGCUGAACUGACGCUGAGGCGCGAAAGCGUGGGUAGCAAACAGGAUUAGAUACCCCUGUAGUC